GACGAACCGAGCGAACGUUGUUCGGAAUCACUGGGCUUAAAGGGCGCGUAGGCGGGCGCUCAAGUCUGGGGUGAAAUCCUCCGGCUCAACCGGAGAACUGCCAUGGAUACUGGGUGUCUCGAGGGUGGUAGGGGUAUGCGGAACUAUCGGUGGAGCGGUGAAAUGCGUUGAUAUCGAUAGGAACUCCGGUGGCGAAGGCGGCAUACUGGACCACUUCUGACGCUGAGGCGCGAAAGCCAGGGGAGCAAACGGG
rnacentral:rRNA from 1 species